rnacentral:RNase_MRP_RNA from 16 species
ACCCCUUUCAAAGCAUACAAACGGAGAGGCCUGUGGCCCUCUCAUGCAUUUGGGGAAAGUCCCUCUGCUUUAUUGGCAGAGAGUGCCCACCCUGAAGGGGUCCAGGCACCAUUUGUGGUUGCCGUGAGUUGCAGCAGCACAGA